rnacentral:rRNA from 1 species
CGCAGCUGAUGCAGCAACGCCGCGUGCGGGAAGACAGCCCUAGGGUUGUAAACCGCUUUCAGUAGGGAAGAAAAUGACGGUACCUACAGAAGAAGGUGCGGCCAACUACGUGCCAGCAGCCGCGGUGACACGUAGGCACCAAGCGUUAUCCGGAUUUAUUGGGCGUAAAGAGCUCGUAGGCGGUUUGGUAAGUCGGGUGUGAAAACUCUGGGCUUAACCCUGAGACGCCACCCGAUACUGCCAUGACUUGAGUACGGUAGGGGAGCGGGGAACUCCUGGUGUAGCGGUGAAAUGCGCAGAUAUCAGGAAGAACACCGGUGGCGAAGGCGCCGCUCUGGGCCGUAACUGACGCUGAGGAGCGAAAGCGUGGGUAGCAAACAGGAUUAGAUACCCUGGUAGUCCACGCCGUAAACGUUGGGCACUAGGUGUGGGUCUCAACUAACGAGAUCCGCGCCGUAGCUAACGCAUUAAGUGCCCCGCCUGGGGAGUACGGUCGCAAGACUAAAACUCAAAGAAAAUUUGACGGGA